UAACAUAAAUAAUAAAACGGAUUUUUGCCACGAUUGGAUGAGAAAUGUUCAGAGAGACUCAUGUCCAACAAAGCCAAAGAAUAUCUUGGAAGUUAAAUGAGACGAUAAAGGAAUCUGAAAGCUUUAAUUGAGUGCAUUUAAAAAAAAUUGUGGUGUACUUUUUGUGGUUUCUGGUGUACGUACAUGCAGUCACGUGUAACCUGCUUACAACUUGA